UACGAAGGGGGCUAUCGUUGUUCGGAAUUACUGGGCGUAAAGCGCACGUAGGCGGACCAAUUAGUUGAGGGUGAAAUCCCGGGGCUCAACCCCGGAACUGCCUUCAAUACUGUUGGUCUAGAGUCCGAGAGAGGUGAGUGGAAUUCCUAGUGUAGAGGUGAAAUUCGUAGAUAUUAGGAAGAACACCAGUGGCGAAGGCGGCUCACGGGCUCGGUAUUGACGAUGAGGUGCGAAAGCGUGAGGAGCAAACAGG
rnacentral:rRNA from 1 species